rnacentral:rRNA from 1 species
CGGGAAGAGCUCAAAUUUAAAAUCUGGCAGUGUAUUCUGUCCGAGUUGUAGUCUAGAGAAGCAUCAUCCGUGCUGGACCNUGUACAAGUCUCUUGGAACAGAGCGUCAUAGAGGGUGAGAAUCCCGUCCUUGACAUGGACUCCCAGUACUUUGUGUUGUGCUCUCAACGAGUCGAGUUGUUUGGGAAUGCAGCUCAAAAUGGGUGGUAAAUUCCAUCUAAAGCUAAAUAUUGGCGAGAGACCGAUAGCGAACAAGUACCGNGAGGGAAAGAUGAAAAGCACUUUGGAGAGAGAGUUAAACAGUACGUGAAAUUGUUGAAAUGGAAACGCUUGAAGUCAGUCGCGUUCUCUGGGAUUCAGCCUUGCUUUUGCUUGGUGCAUUUCCUAGUCUACGGGCCAGCAUGAAUUUUGACCAGUGGAAAAAGGCUAGGGGAAUGUGGCACCUUUGGGUGUGUUAUAGCCCCUUGUCACAUACAUUGGUUGGGAUUGAGGUCUUAGUGCACGCUUCGGUUGUGCUUUGAUGCUGGCGUAAUGGCUUUAAACGACCCGUCUUGAAACACGGACCAAGGAGUCUAACAUGUCUGCGAGUGUUUGGGUGCAAAACCCGAGCGCGUAAUGAAAGUGAUAGUUGGGAACCUCUUUAGAGGGGCACCGACGCCCGGACCAGACCUUCUGUGACGGAUCCGAGGUNGAGCAUAUAUGUUGGGACCCGAAAGAUGGUGAACUAUGCCUGCAUAGGGUGAAGCCAGAGGAAACUCUGGUGGAGGCUCGUAGCGAUUCUGACGUGCAAAUCGAUCGUCAAAUGUGGGUAUAGGGGCGAAAGACUAAUCGAACCAUUAGUGUGCUACUUGGUGGUUAAGAGGCAAUCUUAAAGGGUUAGCCUAGUGAGCGUUGAGGCUUGCAACACUGUCAAAUUGCGGGGACGUCCUAAAGCUUUUGCGACCAAGCAUUGGUGGAAACAUCAGUGUGGCCGAGUUAAUAGCCCUGGGUAUGGUAAAACUGCAAAAGAUGUUACAAUGGAUAAUCCGCAGCCAAGUCCUAAGGAUCCUUUAUUGGGUCUAUGGAUGCAGUUCACAGACUAAAUGGCAGUGGGUGUGUAUUGAGUUGGGAUUAUUUCCGAUUCUACAUGCUUAAGAUAUAGUCGGUCCUGCNGCGAAAGCNGACUGGUGGAUGAAGUUCAUGGUCCCUCAACUUAAAGGCCAUUGUUCNGGAGCCANNGGNGUANUNGG